GUCCACGCCGUAAACGAUGGGCACUAGGUGUCGGGGGUAACCACUCCCUCGGUGCCGCCGCUAACGCAUUAAGUGUCCCGCCUGGGAAGUACGGUCGCAAGAUUAAAACUCAAAGGAAUUGACGGGGGCCCGCACAAGCGGUGGAGCAUGUGGUUCAAUUCGAUGCAACGCGAAGAACCUUACCUGGGUUUGACAUCUGGCGAAGGAGCCUGAAAGGGGUCCGUGCCCGCAAGGGAACGCCAAGACAGGUGCUGCAUGGCUGUCGU
rnacentral:rRNA from 1 species